UGGGGGAUAUUGCACAAUGGGCGAAAGCCUGAUGCAGCGACGCCGCGUGGGGGAUGAAGGCUUUCGGGUUGUAAACCUCUUUCGCUAUCGAACAAGGCCCGCUUAGGGUGGGUUGAGGGUAGGUGGAGAAGAAGCGCCGGCUAACUACGUGCCAGCAGCCGCGGUAAUACGUAGGGCGCGAGCGGUGUCCGGAAUUAUUGGGCGUAAAGGGCUUGUAGGCGGCUUGUUGCGCCUGCUGUGAAAACGCGGGGCUUAACUUCGCGCGUGCAGUGGGUACGGGCAGGCUUGAGUGUGGUAGGGGUGACUGGAAUUCCAGGUUGAGCGGUGGAAUGCGCAGAUAUCUGGAGGAACACCGAUGGCGAAGGCAGGUCACUGGGCCAUUACUGACGCUGAGGAGCGAAAGCAUGGGUAGCGAACAGG
rnacentral:rRNA from 1 species